CGAGUCUCCUCGCGCCCUCUGGUGUACCAACGAAGUAUAACCAGAAAAAAAAAUCCACAAAGAUCGCGGCCAUUUCAUGUAACAAGAGAUGCCCAGAGAGAGGAGAAUGUCUGGAAUCUGGGAGGAAUCACUCACCACCAGAAUUGGGCACGGAUUUGAAAAACAAAACAGAACAAAACAAAAACCAACAGUGCCCGUGAUGCAGAGCUGAGGACUGAACCCAGGGCCUUGUACUUGCUAGGCAAGCGCUCUACCACUGAGCUAAAUCUAUCACUUUAUGGCAGGGAAUAUAGCCAAAAGAGAAUUAUAUAUUGCAUUACUGUCUCAGUCCAAGGCGCCAAAGCCCUUUGCCCACAUCCUUCCUCUUUUUCAAGCCCCUCCAAGAUUUGGG
rnacentral:lncRNA from 1 species